CCGAUUUGGACGAUUACGCGUUUUCUCUAGACGAAUCCUUUUGUAUCGGCUGUGUGUUGUUCAUCGUGGUCGAUCCUUAUGCUCCGACCCAUAUACUAGGGUAGUACCUUUUCAAGUAUCUUCCAUUCAGAGCCCUAGUAAACUCUUCUCCUUCGAUUGUUUCCAGAAUAUAAGCGUUUCCUGGAGCACAUCUGCUGAUUUUAUACGGUCCUUCCCAUGUAGGGGACCACUUAUCGAAUUUAGGAUCUUUCGACCCAAUCGGCAACACUAACUUCCAAACCAGGUCCCCCAGAGAGAAUUGUUUGACUUUGACCUUCUUAUCAUACCACCUGGCCACUUUCUUCUUGUUUUCUUUGAUGCUUAUCAAAGCUCUCAAUCGUUGGCCAGCCAAGUCAUCAAGUUCCCUUUUCAUGAGUGAGGAGUAGUCGUCGGCCGCUAACUGGUCCUGGAGCGAAGUGCGUCUCGACCCUGCUCUCAAUUCCCA
rnacentral:lncRNA from 1 species